GGCAAGUCUGGUGCCAGCAGCCGCGGUAAUUCCAGCUCCAAUAGCGUAUAUUAAAGUUGUUGCGGUUAAAAAGCUCGUAGUUGGAUCUCAGCUCACGCUAAGUGGUCCAUUUAAUGGUGGUUACUACUUAGCUGAGCAUUUUACAGAUUUGUCUCUUGAUGCUCUUCACCGAGUGUCAAGAGUGGUCUGUACGUUUACUUUGAAAAAAUUAGAGUGCUUAAAGCAGGCAACUCGCCCGAAUAAUCUUGCAUGGAAUAAUGGAAUAGGACCUUGGUUCUAUUUUGUUGGUCUCCGGAAUCUGAGGUAAUGAUUAAGAGGGACAGACGGGGGCAUUCGUAUUGCGCCGCUAGAGGUGAAAUUCUUGGACCGGCGCAAGACGAACUACAGCGAAAGCAUUUGCCAAGAAUGUUUUCAUAAUCAAGAACGAAAGUAGAGUUCGAAGGCGAUCAGAUACCGCCCUAGUUCUAACCAUA
rnacentral:rRNA from 1 species